UGGUGGAUAAUCUACUAAAUCACAUGAUAUGUUGUGCAUAUUCGAUUUCAUUAAAUAUGCUAAAGAUUUUCUUCUUUUUUCCUUUUGUUUCACCAGGGUUUACUAGAACCCAGCCUCCAGGCUUUGAGACUUGAUGGAAAUCCACUGAGAAGCAUCCAGAGGACGAUUUUGGACAGAGGCACCAAAGCGGUUCUCAAAUAUUUGAAGGACAAACUUCCAGAGCAAUAAUCUGAUCAUCUUUCUCUUCACUUCGUUUGGUUGGGUCAACAUUUGUAUUUUAUACGUUUUCUGAUUGAAACUUUAAUUUGAAACAGAUCAUAUGCUUGUUCCACUUGAGUGUUAAAGGUUUGUAACGAGUAAAAGAGGAAUUCUAUCAUUCUGGUUUUCAAUGACAUACACUCAUUGGUUUUA